AUGAUCGACGUGCUGACCCGGGUGGACGCCAUCUGCAAGAACUACGAGAGGUACGACGCCGACAAGCACCGGAAUGACGCCGCCGACCCCUUCUCGCGGCUCUACGCCGACAUGGACGCCGUGAUCGACGAAGCCAUCGAGAAGUCGGAGCGGGCCGCGAGGGAGACGAACCGGGCGGCGGCGGUGACCCUCAACGCCGGCGUGCGGCGCACCAAGGCGCGGCUCCUGGAGGAAGUGGCCAAGCUCCAGAAGCUAGCCGGCAAGAAGAUGAAAGGGGUGUCGCGGGAGGAGAUGGCGCUGCGGCCUGAUCUGGUCUCGGCAUUGCACCAGAGGAUCCAGUCGAUCCCCGACGGUGGCGGCGCGGCGGAUCAGAACGGCGGCGGGAACGCUCGGCCGGGGAUCAAGUUUGAUUCUUCAGUUGCAGCUGAAACUUUGGACGAGGGCUACUUCCAGACCAGCGAGGAAUCGGAGGCUUUUCGGAUGGAGUUCGAGAUGCGCCGGAUCAAACAGGUUGAAGGGCUGGACCUCAUUUCUGAAGGCCUGAACACGCUGAAAAACCUGGCAGAGGACAUUGGUGAGGAACUGGACAGGCAGGUCCCUAUCAUGGACGAAAUUGACAGAAAGGUCGACAAGGCUAACACAGAACUUAGAAAGACCAACGUCAGGCUUAAAGAGAUAGUCAACCAGAUUCGAUCGACAAGGAACUUCACAGUUGAUAUCAUACUCAUCUGCAUCAUUCUUGGCAUUGGUGCUUACCUCUACAACGUACUCGCCCAGUGA
rnacentral:rRNA from 1 species